rnacentral:rRNA from 1 species
UCGAAGGUAGCAUAAUCAGUAGUCUUUUAAUUGAAGGCUGGUAUGAAUGGUUGGACGAGAAAUUAACUGUUUCAUAAAAAUUUAUGAUAGAAUUUUAUUUUUUAGUCAAAAAGCUAAAAUUUAUUUAAAAGACGAGAAGACCCUAUAAAUCUUUAUAUAAGUUUUAUUGUAAUUUUUUAGAUUUAUUUUGUUAUAAUAAAUUAUUAUAUUUUAUUGGGGUGAUAUUAAAAUUUAAUAAACUUUUAAUUUUUAUAAUCAUUAAUUUAUGAAUAAAUGAUCCGUUAAUAACGAUUAAAAAAUUAAGUUACUUUAGGGAUAACAGCGUAAUUUUUUUGGAGAGUUCAUAUCGAUAAAAAAGAUUGCGACCUCGAUGUUGGAUUAA